GGUGGGUGAGGAGAGUAUCCUAAGGCCAGCGAGAGAACUGUUGUUAAGGAACUCGGCAAAAUGACCCCGUAACUUAGGGAUAAGGGGUGCCACCAUCAGGUGGCCGCAGAGAAUAGGCCCAAGCGACUGUUUACCAAAAACAUAGGUUUCUGCUAAGUCGCAAGACGAUGUAUAGGAGCUGACGCCUGCCCGGUGCUGGAAGGUUAAGGGGAUCUGUUAGAGUAAUCGAAGCAGUGAACUUAAGCCCCAGUAAACGGCGGCCGUAACUAUAACGGUCCUAAGGUAGCGAAAUUCCUUGUCGGGUAAGUUCCGACCCGCACGAAAGGCGUAACGAUUUGGGCACUGUCUCAACAACAGACUCGGUGAAAUUGUAAUUCCGGUGAAGAUGCCGGAUACCUGCGACAGGACGGAAAGACCCCAUGGAGCUUUACUGUAGCUUGACAUUGGGUCUUGGUACUACAUGUACAGGAUAGGUGGGAGGCUUUGAAACCAGGACGCCAGUUUUGGCGGAGCCAUCCUUGGGAUACCACCCUUGUAGUACUGGGACUCUAACCAUAGGCCAUGAAUCUGGUCUUGGGACACUGUCAGGUGGGCAGUUUGACUGGGGCGGUCGCCUCCCAAAAGGUAACGGAGGCGCUCAAAGGUUCUCUCAGUACGGUCGGAAAUCGUACGUAGAGUGUAAAGGCAAAAGAGAGCUUGAUUGCAAGACAUACAGGUCGAGCAAGGAUGAAAAUCGGACUUAGUGAUCCGGUGGUUCUGCGUGGAAGGGCCAUCGCUCAACGGAUAAAAG
rnacentral:rRNA from 1 species